rnacentral:rRNA from 1 species
CGGGUUAGUAACGCGUGGGAACGUGCCUUUCACUACGGAAUAGUCCCGGGAAACUGGGUUUAAUACCGUAUACGCCCUUCGGGGGAAAGAAUUUCGGUGAAAGAUCGGCCCGCGUUAGAUUAGGUAGUUGGUGGGGUAAUGGCCUACCAAGCCUACGAUCUAUAGCUGGUUUUAGAGGAUGAUCAGCAACACUGGGACUGAGACACGGCCCAGACUCCUACGGGAGGCAGCAGUGGGGAAUCUUGGACAAUGGGCGCAAGCCUGAUCCAGCCAUGCCGCGUGAGUGAUGAAGGCCUUAGGGUCGUAAAGCUCUUUCGCCAGGGAUGAUAAUGACAGUACCUGGUAAAGAAACCCCGGCUAACUCCGUGCCAGCAGCCGCGGUAAUACGGAGGGGGUUAGCGUUGUUCGGAAUUACUGGGCGUAAAGCGCGCGUAGGCGGAUCGGAAAGUUGGGGGUGAAAUCCCGGGGCUCAACCCCGGAACUGCCUCCAAAACUAUCGGUCUAGAGUUCGAGAGAGGUGAGUGGAAUUCCGAGUGUAGAGGUGAAAUUCGUAGAUAUUCGGAGGAACACCAGUGGCGAAGGCGGCUCACUGGCUCGAUACUGACGCUGAGGUGCGAAAGUGUGGGGAGCAAACAGGAUUAGAUACCCUGG